rnacentral:lncRNA from 1 species
CUGCAUUUAAGGGCAAUCAUUGUGUGUUUAUCUUUGCAGCCUUCCAGAAUGUUUAUUUUGGUUUGGGUGUGGACAGACUUGUUGGAGGAAAUGAUUGUAAAGACACCACAUAAUUACACAAAAGCACAUUGUGUGGCAAUAAUCCUCCCAUGAAAUCCAUCGCUCGCUGAGCCAUCACUGCAGGGCUCCCACACAAACCUCAAAGGCUCAGCCCAGCCUGCUGGGUUUUGGUGGCACUGAGGGACACCUGGUUUAACACAGGUCCCCUGCAAGCAGCUGAGCCCAGAGAGUGACAGGAAAUCCUCAACAGCACCAGCUGUGGUCACAUCUCCAUCAGAAGGAUGGGCAGAGCCACCAGCAAGGAGAAGGCUUCCACCAUCCCCUGGAGCAUCUGAGACUGCCAAGGUUUGAGUCCAUGGGAAAGGAUUCCUGCAGCACCACCAGGGCCUAAGGAAAGCUCCCUCCCAAACCACUUUACUGUGAAAAAGCCUCUCCCAAACCCAGCUCCACACACCCAGCACAGACCCAGCAAGGAGCACCCAGAGCCUCCAAAAACAUUCAAGGGAAGGGGCAAAGCCUCCCUGGGGACUUGUCACAGCCAGGGCAGCUCGGUUUGG